rnacentral:rRNA from 1 species
GAUGAACGCUGGCGGCGUGCCUAAUACAUGCAAGUCGAGCGAACAGACGAGGAGCUUGCUCCUCUGACGUUAGCGGCGGACGGGUGAGUAACACGUGGAUAACCUACCUAUAAGACUGGGAUAACUUCGGGAAACCGGAGCUAAUACCGGAUAAUAUAUUGAACCGCAUGGUUCAAUAGUGAAAGACGGUUUUGCUGUCACUUAUAGAUGGAUCCGCGCCGCAUUAGCUAGUUGGUAAGGUAACGGCUUACCAAGGCAACGAUGCGUAGCCGACCUGAGAGCGUGAUCGGCCACACUGGAACUGAGACACGCUCCAGACUCCUACGAGAGGCAGCAGUAGGGAAUCUUACGCAAUGGGCAAAAGCCUGACGGAGCAACGCCGCGUGAGUGAUGAAGGUCUUCGGAUCGUAAAACUCUGUUAUUAGGGAAGAACAAAUGUGUAAGUAACUAUGCACGUCUUGACGGUACCUAAUCAGAAAGCCACGGCUAACUACGUG